CCUUUCUANGGAUGGUUCUUCAGAAGCUUGCUUCUAUCGAACCGUUUUAGAAACAUCAGUGGCCAACGAUCGUCAGGAUUGUUGAGCUGCAUUGGCGGGAUUUCGCCGUCUUCGUUUCUCUUUCUUCGCGGACGAACACGCGCUGGGCCUGCAUGACGCAGGGUCCCUGGUCCUNGNNNGGGAUAUGCGUUAGGGGCUUGUAGCUCAGUUGGUUAGAGCGCGCGCUUGAUAAGCGUGAGGUCGGAAGUUCAAGUCUUCCCAGGCCCACCAGCCUUCGCGCUUCGCUGCUUCGGCUAGGCAAGCCCUUCGAUACGAAGGCUGCCGCGCCGUAGCCUUUGCGAAGGCGGGCUGAUCAAACGAGCAUUCGUCUUCUGGUUACGGGGCCAUAGCUCAGCUGGGAGAGCGCGUGCUUUGCAAGCAUGAGGUCGUCGGUUCGAUCCCGUCUGGCUCCACCAGAUGGUUUGAUCACCGACGCUGUGUUUGCAGGUAUUCAACCGUCGUCCGCGAAACAUCACUUCGCACCUUGCUAGUCUGGAUAGACAGCAGGUUGCGUGAUUUCUGACAUCGUAAAGAGGAGAUCGAUCCGAGUUGGAUCGGGCAGCAAGCAAUUGCUGCGCGAUACUUCAUUAUCUCCGGAUCAUUUCGGCGCUCGCGCGCCUUUCGAUGCGGCUCACAAGGCUGCGUCUGAAGGGAAUGCGGGUUGUAAAUGAUCCUUUUAGCGAAGCUUGACCGCCUCGCUAUC
rnacentral:tRNA from 1 species